AAAAGCAAGGGUGGUCUGGGGUUCAGAGAUUUCCACCUUUUUAACCAGGCUCUCCUAGCGAGGCAGGCCUGGCGUUUGCUUACUAAACCCACCAGUUUGUGUGCGCAGGUGCUAAAGGCCCGAUACUACCAUGAUGGACGCCUUGAGGACACGGUCUUCUCAGGGAACUCCUCCCCGACCUGCCAAGCUAUCCAACAUGGCCUCGAGCUCCUGAAAAAGGGCAUCAUAUGGCGUGUUGGGAACAGUCAGGACAUUCGCAUAUGGCGGGACCGAUGGUUGCCACGGGAGCCCUCUCGUCAGCCCAUCAUCAGCAGGGCACUUGCCGCCUGCGGAGGGUGCCCAAGCUCCUCGACGGCAAAGGCUCUUGGCGCACCAGCCUACUACAACGCUACUUCCUGCCGGCGGAUGUCGCCGUCAUCACUAGCAUCCGGACCUCGCCACGCGUCACCAACGAUAUCAUCGCCUGGGCGCCGGAGAAGAACGGUAUCUUCACCGUCCGAUCCGCGUAUCGCCUGGCAAUGGACGAGCGUGAGCGUCCAUUGGCCACCACUAUGA
rnacentral:rRNA from 1 species